GACGAACGCUGGCGGCGUGCUUAACACAUGCAAGUCGAGCGAGGCCCUUCCUUCGGGAAGGUGCCCUAGCGGCGAACGGGUGAGUAACACGUGGGCAACCUGCCCCUAGCACUGGGAUAACUCCGGGAAACCGGGGCUAAUACCGGAUAUGACCUUUGAGGGCAUCCUCUUUGGUGUAAAGGAUUCUGGCUAGGGAUGGGCCCGCGGCCUAUCAGCUUGUUGGUGGGGUAACGGCCUACCAAGGCGACGACGGGUAGCCGGCCUGAGAGGGCGACCGGCCACACUGGGACUGAGACACGGCCCAGACUCCUACGGGAGGCAGCAGUGGGGAAUUUUGGACAAUGGGCGCAAGCCUGAUCCAGCCAUUCCGCGUGCAGGAUGAAGGCCCUCGGGUUGUAAACUGCUUUUGUACGGAACGAAAGGCCUCUUCUAAUACAGGGGCUCAUGACGGUACCGUAAGAAUAAGCACCGGCUAACUACGU
rnacentral:rRNA from 1 species